rnacentral:rRNA from 1 species
GACGAACGCUGGCGGCGUGCCUAAUACAUGCAAGUCGAACGCAGUGGGGACGGGUGAGUAACACGUGGGUAACCUCCCAUCAGAGGGGAUAACACUUGGAAACAGGUGCUAAACCGAUACUGAUGGAUGGACCCGCGGUGAAUUAGCUAGGUGGUGAGGUAACGGCCCACCAAGGCCACGAUGCAUAGUCGGCCUGAGAGGGGAAUAGGCCAAAGUGGGACUGAGACACGUGCCAUACUCCUACGGGAGGCAGCAGUAGGGAAUCUUCGGCAAUGGACGAAAGUCUGACCGAGCAACGCCGCGUGAGUGAAGAAGGUUUUCGGAUCGUAAAACUCUGUUGUUAGAGAAGCGGUAUCUAACCAGAAAGCCAUGGCUAACUACGUGCCAGCCGCCGCGGUAAUUC